UUCCCGGGCCUUGUACACACCGCCCGUCACACCGACGAAAAGUUGGCAAUACCCGAAGCCGGUGGCCUAACCCGCAAGGGAGGGAGCCGUCGAAGGUAGGGUCGAUGAUUGGGGUG
rnacentral:rRNA from 1 species